GCCCAAAGUGGGUGGUAAACUCCAUCCAAGGCUAAAUACUAACACGAGUCCGAUAGCGAACAAGUACCGUGAGGGAAAGUUGAAAAGUACUUUGAAGAGAGAGUAAACAGUACGUGAAACCGCUCAGAGGUAAACGGGUGGAGUUGAACUGUGAUCUCUGUGAAUUUAGCUGGUGAACGUGGUUUGAACUUGGUCAAAUUGGUUGUUAUUUGGGGUCUGCUUAGCUGCAGGUCUCCGCCUAUGGUGGAGAUGCGCGAGGCACUUAUCAGGUGUUGCGCGCCUCAGGUGAAUCGGACCAGUUCGCCAGUGCAUUUUCACAGAGUGUUCACCACGACCGGCAUCGCUGUCCGGCUGGUAUGGUUAAACCGGUCUUGCAUUGUCCUCGUGGCUUUGCUUGGUCGGGAUGGCAGGUAGCUCUUGGGCUUGCUCGCAGUUCGCUGUGGGUUCAGGUCCUUGAGUGUAAACAGCUGACCGUAUCGGUUCUGUGCAGUAUGUCGGAGACGGCGGCUUGUGGUGUGUGCGUGCGUGCCAGUUGGCUGGCGAGUCCGGGUUUGGUUGUUAUGUUGCCUGUGUUGGCAGGCCUAAUGAUAACUCGGAUUCUUUCGGCUGACGGUUGCGUGCGUGUCACUUUCCAGGGCCAAUAGUCCUGUGGUUUCCAUGG
rnacentral:rRNA from 1 species